rnacentral:tRNA from 1 species
GAAGGUAUAGCUCAAGUGGUAGAGCAUGUGCUUAGCAUGCACAAGGUCCUGGGUUCAAUCCCCAGCACCCCCU